CAGCAGCCACGGGAAUACGGAGGGUGCAAGCGUUAAUCGGAAUUACUGGGCGUAAAGCGCACGCAGGCGGUUUGUUAAGUCAGAUGUGAAAUCCCCGAGCUUAACUUGGGAACUGCAUUUGAAACUGGCAAGCUAGAGUCUUGUAGAGGGGGGUAGAAUUCCAGGUGUAGCGGUGAAAUGCGUAGAGAUCUGGAGGAAUACCGGUGGCGAAGGCGGCCCCCUGGACAAAGACUGACGCUCAGGUGCGAAAGCGUGGGGAGCAAACAGGAUUAGAGACCCCAGUAGUCCCUGUCUCUUAUAC
rnacentral:rRNA from 1 species